rnacentral:lncRNA from 13 species
AUUAACUGCUGGUCUCCCUUCAAGCAGUCCUCACCCCUGGGGUGCAGAAGGACACCCUGGCCCUUAGCCCUAUAAAGGGUUACCUCUUCCAAACAAAGCCUGAUCAAAUCUGGGUGACAGAAAGUAGAAGAUAAGGGGUUUGGGGACUCUCAACCCCAAACCAGGGACCCAUGCCCUUCACCAAUUCUGGGAGGCCACAGCCAGGGUGUUGAUGUAGCCAUGGGCGCCCAUGUCGUUCUCCGAAAUGCAGUGGCCUAGCUGGGAGCCUCCCUGAGGUGGUGUCGGAGGCGGUGGAGGGGCGGAGGGCGGAGGACCAUAGCCCACUCUGGCCCGAUUCGGGCGGCCUGACUGCCCCGGUCCCAGCAGCCCUCCAGCGCCUCCAGGCCGCGGCAGCCGAGGAAGAGGUUCUUGAGCAUGAAGAUGGAGAGGGGCUGCUGGUAGCUGACCACCAGGAGGCAGCGCAGCACCAGCAAGGGCAGUCCACCAGGCAGCCGCGGCUUUGAGCUCAUACAGCCAGAGCACCGGCUAGGCGAGGGUGAGGAAGUAGACGGCGAUGAGCAGGUAGCGCAGGUGCGCGGGCAGCGGCGCGCUGCCCUCCAGCAUCAGCUCCACCAAUGUGAAGCUGUUGAGAAGGUCCAGGCACGUGCCCAGGAAGCACCCGGCCGCGCGGUGCCGCUGGGGCUGCAGCAGCAGGGGUCCGGCCGAGCCCGGCGGCGCGCCUGCCUGAGGAUGGCCCGCACCAAGCUGUAGAGCAGGGACACCGACAGCGCCAUGGUGAGGCGGAAGCCCGUGGUGCCCAAGGGCGCGCGCAGCUCGAUGAGGUCUAAGGAUGGACGUGGAUCAGCAGUAUCAGCACUACCUUGGGCGCGAAGGCGAUGGAGUAGAUAAGCCAGGCCAGAGUCCUGCUCUGUUGCCAGGUGCCAGGCUGGAGUGCAAUAGUGUGAUCUCAGCUCACUGCAACCUCUGCCUCCCAGAUUCAAGCAAUUCUCCUGCCUCAGCCUCCUGAGUAGCUGGGACUACACGUGUGCACCACCAUACCCAGGUAAUUUUUGUAUUUUAGUAGAGACAGGGUUUCACCAUGUUGGCCAGGAUGGUCUCAGUCUCCUGACCUCGUGAUCCCCCCGCCUCAAUCUCCCAAAGUGCUGGGAUUGCAGGAGUGAGCCACCGCACCUGGGCUUCUUCUGAAAUUUAAUCCAUCUCCUCUAUUAUCUUUCUUGGAUUUUAGAAAAAAAUUUCAUUUCUGCAGAAUUGUCCUGCUGUUGGCUGCCUAACUAUAGGUUAAGACCUGACAAGCUAAAGAACUUCUUGGAAGUAGUUCCUCAGAACACACCAAGUAAAGCACAUACUAAUCUGGGUAAGAUUUAAUCAGCUUGCUAGACAUAUUCA